UACGUAGGUGGCAAGCGUUGUCCGGAUUUACUGGGCGUAAAGAGCGCGCAGGCGGUCGUUCAAGUCGCGUGUGAAAGCCCCCGGCUCAACUGGGGAGGGUCACGCGAUACUGAUCGACUCGAAGGCAGGAGAGGGAAGUGGAAUUCCCGGUGUAGUGGUGAAAUGCGUAGAUAUCUGGAGGAACACCGGUGGCGAAGGCGGCAUCCUGGACCGGUAUUGACGCUGAUGAGCGAAAGCGUGGGGAGCAAACAGG
rnacentral:rRNA from 1 species